GAUGAACGCUGGCGGCGUGCCUAAUACAUGCAAGUCGAGCGAACGGACGAGAAGCUUGCUUCUCUGAUGUUAGCGGCGGACGGGUGAGUAACACGUGGAUAACCUACCUAUAAGACUGGGAUAACUUCGGGAAACCGGAGCUAAUACCGGAUAAUAUUUUGAACCGCAUGGUUCAAAAGUGAAAGACGGUCUUGCUGUCACUUAUAGAUGGAUCCGCGCUGCAUUAGCUAGUUGGUAAGGUAACGGCUUACCAAGGCAACGAUGCAUAGCCGACCUGAGAGGGAGGGCAGCCAGACUGCAACAGAGGCACAGGAGAGACGACGACGGGAGGCAGCAGUGGGGAAUCUUUCGCUAGGGGCGAAAGACGGACGGAGCAACGCCGUGGGAGUUAUGAGAGGUGUCGGAUAGUAAAACGCUGUUAUCAGGGAAGAACAAAUGGGUAAGUAACUAUGCACAGCUUGACGGUACCUAAGCAGAAAGCCACGGCUAGAUACGUG
rnacentral:rRNA from 1 species